rnacentral:rRNA from 1 species
UACGUAGGGGGCGAGCGUUGUCCGGAGUUACUGGGCGUAAAGCGCUUGUAGGCGGUCCACCAAGUUUGGGGUGACAGUUGCCGACUUAAUCGGCAAAGUGCCUCAAAGACUGGCGGACUUGAGGGCCACAGAGGGACAUGGAACUCCAGGUGUAGUGGUGAAAUGCGUUGAGAUCGGAAGGAACGCCCGUGGCGAAAGCGAGGUCCUGGACGCCUACUGACGCUGAGACGCGAAAGCCAGGGGAGCGAACGGG